rnacentral:lncRNA from 1 species
ACUCGGCGCCGACCCCAGGAGACCGAAGACGGUGUGAAUCUCGUAGGGCUUCAGUGCCUUCUCCAGUUGCACCUAAAAGCGACCACAGACGCAGCGGGGGAAGUGCUUGGAUCCCACCAGAGCGUCCUCCCGGAGGAAAUUCGGGACAAAGGGGCGAUGUCGACCAUAGAGAACCGGCCUUAGGGGAUAGAGUCCCAGGGCCCGGCUGAGGGCUAGAGUAGCCGCCGAGCACCGGAAACCAGCGAGAUGAUGAGGCUGUGUGAACGGCCCGCUGCAGCCUAGAGCGCCGGCCCCGCUGUGGAGGGGCACGCGGACAACGCCACCAAGGAGCUGAGCGAGGAAAGAAGCGGGUGACCUUGGGGAGGCCCUGCGGGGAGGCGGAGCCUGAACUUACGACCUUGGUUUAUCUGAGGAAAGGGGCAGGCGGUCCAGGAGUUUGCAUCUCUGAGGCUGGAGAUGAAGAUGGUGGUAGUGGUGGGGGAGGGGGUGGGUAGAAAUAAUGAGGUCAGGGCCGGGCGCAGUGGCUCAUGCCUGUAAUCCCAGCACUUCGGAAGGCCGAGGCAGGUGGAUCACCUGAGGUCAGGAGUUUGAGACCAGCCUGACCAACAUGGUGAAACCCCAUCUGCAAUAAAAAUACAAAAAUUUUAGCCGGGCUUGGUGGCAGGCGCCUGUACUCCCAGCUACUUGAGAGGAGGCUGAGGCAGAAGAAUCACUUGAACCCCAGAGUCGGAAGUUGCAGUGAGCCAAGACUGCGCCACUGCAAUCCAGCCUGGGCAAAAGAGCGAGACUCCAUCUCAAAAAUAAUAACAAUAAUAAUAAUGAGGUCAAUUCCAGACGUGCUUUUGGGACGUCUGUGGGCAUAUAGUCUGGAGCUAAGAAGAGACAUCAAGGCCAGUUAGAGAAAUCGAGAACAAUUAAAGUACGGAGGGUAGUUGAAAGCAUG